rnacentral:rRNA from 1 species
AGACCCGAAACCCGGUGAUCUAGCCAUGGGCAGGUUGAAGGUUGGGUAACACUAACUGGAGGACCGAACCGACUAAUGUUGAAAAAUUAGCGGAUGACCUGUGGCUGGGGGUGAAAGGCCAAUCAAACCGGGAGAUAGCUGGUUCUCCCCGAAAGCUAUUUAGGUAGCGCCUCGUGAAUUCAUCUCCGGGGGUAGAGCACUGUUUCGGCUAGGGGGCCAUCCCGGCUUACCAACCCGAUGCAAACUGCGAAUACCGGAGAAUGUUAUCACGGGAGACACACGGCGGGUGCUAACGUCCGUCGUGAAGAGGGAAACAACCCAGACCGCCAGCUAAGGUCCCAAAGUCAUGGUUAAGUGGGAAACGAUGUGGGAAGGCCCAGACAGCCAGGAUGUUGGCUUAGAAGCAGCCAUCAUUUAAAGAAAGCGUAAUAGCUCACUGGUCGAGUCGGCCUGCGCGGAAGAUGUAACGGGGCUAAACCAUGCACCGAAGCUGCGGCAGCGACACUGUGUGUUGUUGGGUAGGGGAGCGUUCUGUAAGCCUGUGAAGGUGUGUCGUGAGGCAUGCUGGAGGUAUCAGAAGUGCGAAUGCUGACAUAAGUAACGAUAAAGCGGGUGAAAAGCCCGCUCGCCGGAAGACCAAGGGUUCCUGUCCAACGUUAAUCGGGGCAGGGUGAGUCGACCCCUAAGGCGAGGCCGAAAGGCGUAGUCGAUGGGAAACGGGUUAAUAUUCCCGUACUUGGUGUUACUGCGAAGGGGGGACGGAGAAGGCUAUGUUGGCCGGGCGACGGUUGUC